rnacentral:rRNA from 1 species
UACGUAGGGGGCAAGCGUUGUCCGGAUUUAUUGGGCGUAAAGAGCGUGUAGGCGGUUUGGUAGGUCCGCUGUGAAAACUCGAGGCUCAACCUCGAGACGCCGGUGGAAACCAUCAGGCUAGAGUCCGGAAGAGGAGAGGGGAAUUCCUGGUGUAGCGGUGAAAUGCGCAGAUAUCAGGAAGAACACCCGUGGCUAAGGCGGCUCGCUAGUACGUGACUGACGCUGAGACGCGAAAGCGUGGGGAGCGAACAGG